UACAGAGGGUGCGAGCGUUGUCCGGAAUCACUGGGCGUAAAGGGCGCGUAGGCGGCUCAGUAAGCGUGCGAUGAAAGCCCGGGGCUCAACCCCGGGUCGGCCGUGCGAACUGCAGAGCUGGAGCACUGUAGAGGCAGGUGGAAUUCCGGGUGUAGCGGUGGAAUGCGUAGAGAUCCGGAAGAACACCGGUGGCGAAGGCGGCCUGCUGGGCAGUGGCUGACGCUGAGGCGCGACAGCGUGGGGAGCAAACAGG
rnacentral:rRNA from 1 species